UACAGAGGGUGCGAGCGUUGUUCGGAAUUAUUGGGCGUAAAGGGCGCGUAGGCGGUGCGGUAAGUCACCUGUGAAAUCUCCUGGCUCAACUGGGAGCUUGCAGGCGAAACUGCCGUGCUGGAGUGUGGGAGAGGUGAGUGGAAUUCCCGGUGUAGCGGUGAAAUGCGUAGAUAUCGGGAAGAACACCCGUGGCGAAGGCGGCUCUCUGGGACGGUACUGACGCUGAGACGCGAAAGCGUGGGGAGCGAACAGG
rnacentral:rRNA from 1 species